UCCCUGCAAACAAGAUAGCAGGUAUCCCAGGGCUGCACACCUCCCUCCUUUCACCCUCAGGAGACCACUGGUGCUUUCUGAUUCCAAAGCCGACUUUUCAUCUCCUGGAACUGCAAAACAUGCACCAUGAGUAAAACCACCCAGUUUUAAGCUUUGAUUAUCCAUGUCGCACAUACCUGCGGCACAUUGGAAACGUUUGCCACCAUUUUCCAUGGUCACCUAUGGCUGAUUAGAAUACAGUGGAGAUGUUUCAGUUUUUGGCAGUUAGGAGCAAUUUUUAUCAUGAACACUGGUAUGGUCUCGUUAUUAUACCUCUAAUGUUUUAAUUUCUUUUUCUUUCCUAUCCCAAUGUUUUAAUUUAUUUUAUGCAAACACAAAGGAGAAAAAGACUUUGGCCCUUGGUAGGUAAAUGUUUAGCUUAUGAGACUCUCAUGCUAUCUUCCCUCAAAGUACUCAGUCUGGGGAUGCAGCUGGCGCAGUGCCAAGAAAGUCAUAGCUUUGGGGUGUUCCUUUGAAUGAAAAAAAAAAAGAUAAAAGCCAAAGGGUUUUGUUUUAAGAAACAGAAAGAAAAGAACAGAUAAAAUCCAACCCACAGGAAGAAAGAAAUAACAAUAAUUAAGUGUAAGUAAAAUAUGGAUUAUCAACAAGCCUGGAGGUCAAGUGGAUAAAAUGUUAAUAAAGCGAAUUCCAUCCUAUCAAGACUAGUUAAGAUAAAAGAGGAACCCCACAAAUUAUCAGUAGGGCUUGAGAGAUUGAAGAGGGGUAUCUUGUGUAUGUCACUAAUGGCUAAAAGUAAUAUAAGAAGUUUACAAAUAGCUUCAUCACAAUUAAUUUAUCAAUGAAGAUUAACUUUACACAUUCAGAAGCACCGAUUCAAUCAUGGAUAGAUUAUUUGAAUAUCCCUGUAUCAGAGAAAUUAUCAGAGAAAUUAAAUUUAUAAUAAAAAAUUUCCACUCUGGAGGCUCC
rnacentral:lncRNA from 1 species